CUUAAGAACAUAAGAACAAGCCAGCUGGAUCAGACCAAAGUCCAUCUAGUCCAGCUCUCUGCUACUCGCAGUGGCCCACCAGGUGCCUUUGGGAGCUCACCUGCAGGAGGUGAAAGCAAUGGCCUUCUGCGGCUGCUGCUCCCUUAGAGGCACCUGGUCU